CAUAAUCCUAUUUACGAUGCACAAGUAAAGACAGAUUAUGAAUCCACGUGGUAAGGACACAGUUAGGUUCGCUGUGAGUGCAUCCUUUAGUAGCAACUAACCAAAGCAAGUAUAGAUGGGAAUAAGCUAUUACCUCGAUAGGCUUAAUGAGGUGCUUGACAGUCUGACACUAACUGAACAAUAAGUGUCA
rnacentral:ncRNA from 1 species